rnacentral:rRNA from 1 species
AUACGGAGGGUGCAAGCGUUAUUCGGAAUCACUGGGCGUAAAGGACGCGUAGGCGGGUUGGCAAAUCAGAUGUGAAAUCCUACAGCUUAACUGUAGAACUGCAUUUGAAACUGCUAACCUAGAGUAUGGGAGGGGGAGAUGGAAUUAGUGGUGUAGGGGUAAAAUCCGUAGAUAUCACUAGGAAUACCGAAAGCGAAGGCGAUCUCCUGGAACAUAACUGACGCUAAGGCGUGAAAGCGUGGGGAGCAAACAGGAUUAGAUACCCUAGUAGUCC